rnacentral:misc_RNA from 1 species
UUGAAUUAAACUUGGUGUCGGUUGCAGCUGGCCCUUCUUGGGCAUGUGCUCGCCUUCAUCAUCUUUAUAUUUCCACCUGUGCACCUUUUGUAGACAAGGAAGAAAAAUAAAGGAGUAUUAUUAUGGUAUUCCCUUAUGUAUUAUUUCUUGUCUAUGAUUUUAUUAUACUCCUGAAAAUGUUAAGGAAUGUUAAUAAAAUGGGCCUUUGCGCCUAUAAUCUUAAAAAAAUA